UGCCGGCGACCGGCGACGGGUGCGUAACGCGUAUGUAACCUACCUUUGACAGGGGGAUAACAUCGAGAAAUUGGUACUAAUACCCCAUAACAUCACCGGAGGCAUCUUCGGUGGUUGAAAACUCAGGUGGUCAGAGAUGGACAUGCGUUGUAUUAGCUAGUUGGUGAGGUAACGGCUCACCAAGGCGACGAUACAUAGGGGGACUGAGAGGUCAACCCCCCACAUUGGUACUGAGACAUGGACCAAACUCCUACGGGAGGCAGCAG
rnacentral:rRNA from 1 species